GGCUCACCAAGCCCGAGGAAGCGGAAGACGGUGUGCAUGGUGAACUUCCUGUUGGAGGCGUGGUCCUCCAACCUGAGCACCAAGAUCUGCUCACGGCUGAAGACGCUCAGCCAGUCCAGCAGGUGUCAAAGGUUAAAAGCAAGAUGGCCGCCGCAAGUUGAGGUGCGCGGAUUGAGUUAAGAAAAUGGAAGCAGUCCUAACAACUCGCAUCCAUAAGCCCUUUGUAGACCUCCACGCCUGAACUAACCAACAAAUGG